UACGGGGGGGGCAAGCGUUGUUCGGAAUUACUGGGCGUAAAGGGCGCGUAGGCGGCCUUCUAAGUCGGACGUGAAAUCCCUCGGCUCAACCGAGGAACUGCGUCCGAUACUGAAAGGCUUGAAUCCGGGAGAGGGAUGUGGAAUUCCAGGUGCAGCGGUGAAAUGCGUAGAUAUCUGGAGGAACACCGGUGGCGAAGGCGGCAUCCUGGACCGGCAUUGACGCUGAGGCGCGAAAGCGUGGGGAGCAAACAGG
rnacentral:rRNA from 1 species